UCGACCUGAGUCCCAGGCAAG
rnacentral:rRNA from 1 species